GUGGGGAAUAUUGGACAAUGGGCGAAAGCCUGAUCCAGCCAUGCCGCGUGUGUGAAGAAGGUCUUCGGAUUGUAAAGCACUUUAAGUUGGGAGGAAGGGCAGUAAGUUAAUACCUUGCUGUUUUGACGUUACCGACAGAAUAAGCACCGGCUAACUUUGUGCCAGCAGCCGCGGUAAUACGAAGGGUGCAAGCGUUAAUCGGAAUUACUGGGCGUAAAGCGCGCGUAGGUGGUUUUGUAAGUUGGAGGUGAAAUCCCCGGGCUCAACCUGGGAACUGCCUCCAAAACUGCAUGACUAGAGUACGGUAGAGGGUAGUGGAAUUUCCUGUGUAGCGGUGAAAUGCGUAGAUAUAGGAAGGAACACCAGUGGCGAAGGCGACUACCUGGACUGAUACUGACACUGAGGUGCGAAAGCGUGGGGAGCAAACAGGAUUAGAUACCCGGGUAGUCC
rnacentral:rRNA from 1 species